GAGUGGACUCUGAACUGAAUUAGUAAGAAAAAGGAAUAAAGCUGCAGUAAUGUGCUCAUAUUUAACUCUAUUUAAUUUGGUAUGCUAACUAAAGAACAAGAUACAAGAUGGCCUUGAAGGAAUUUUUAUUCACUUGUACGGCUCUUUUUGUUGUCUUAAUUCUGCUAACUUCACAGGCAGCAACCUGCAGCAGGAAACUGGGACAUUCUUCCUCCGGGCAUUUUCUGAAUAAUGGAGAGAGCAGGGUGAAGCUAUUAGAGAACAAAGUUGGAGGAGGGGCUGGGGCUGUACGACCAGAUGAUCCUUGGAAGGGAAACUAUUGAUCUCUUAGGCAUAAAUCUUUAAAUUAUCUAUGAUGUAGUAUAUCUUGUAUUCUGAACACCAAUUAAUGGUGUUAGCUAGUGAUCAUACAUAUAGUUUGAGCCUGAGUCCUACCUCAGAAAGAAAGAAAAGAAGCAUAUACACAUAGAAAUAAAUAAAUAAAAAAGGUUCUGAUGUUAUAA